UCUGUGAUGUCUCAAUAGGUCCUGCUUACCCUUCACUGUGCUCAGUAGAAUAGAAGGGAGGUGAAGAAACCUGUGGCUGAGAGA
rfam:Calypte anna contig20595, whole genome shotgun sequence.